CCUACGGGUGGCAGCAGUGAGGAAUAUUGGUCAAUGGGCGUAAGUCUGAACCAGCCAAGUCGCGUGCGGGAUGAAGGUUCUAUGGAUCGUAAACCUCUUUUAUAAGGGAAUAAAGUGUGGGACGUGUCCUAUUUUGUAUGUACCUUAUGAAUAAGGAUCGGCUAACUCCGUGCCAGCAGCCGCGGUAAUACGGAGGAUCCGAGCGUUAUCCGGAUUUAUUGGGUUUAAAGGGUGCGUAGGCGGCCUGUUAAGUCAGCGGUGAAAGUCUGUGGCUCAACCAUGGAAUUGCCGUUGAAACUGGGGGGCUUGAGUGCGUUUGAGGCAGGCGGAAUGCGUGGUGUAGCGGUGAAAUGCUUAGAUAUCACGCAGAACCCCGAUGGCGAAGGCAGCCUGCCAAGCCAUGACUGACGCUGAGGCACGAAAGUGUGGGGAUCAAACAGGAUUAGAUACCCGAGUAGUC
rnacentral:rRNA from 1 species